GAUGAACGCUAGCGGGAGGCUUAACACAUGCAAGUCGAGGGGCAUCACGGGGUAGCAAUACUCUGGUGGCGACCGGCGCACGGGUGAGUAACACGUAUGCAACCUACCCUGUACAGGGGGAUAGCCCGGAGAAAUUCGGAUUAAUACCCCAUAAAGAUAUGAAGAGGCAUCUUUUUAUAUUUAAAGUUUCGACGGUACGGGAUGGGCAUGCGUAACAUUAGCUAGUUGGUAGGGUAACGGCCUACCAAGGCGACGAUGUUUAGGGGACCUGAGAGGGUGAUCCCCCACACUGGUACUGAGACACGGACCAGACUCCUACGGGUGGCUG
rnacentral:rRNA from 1 species